AUUGAACGCUGGCGGCAGGCCUAACACAUGCAAGUCGAACGAGUGGCGGACGGGUGAGUAAUGUCUGGGAAACUGCCCGAUGGAGGGGGAUAACUACUGGAAACGGUAGCUAAUACCGCAUACCAUCGGAUGUGCCCAGAUGGGAUUAGCUAGUAGGUGGGGUAACGGCUCACCUAGGCGCCGAUCCCUAGCUGGUCUGGGAGGAUGACCAGCCACACUGGAACUGAGACACGGUCCAGGCUCAUACGGGAGGCGGCAGUGGGGAAUAUUGCGCAAUGGGCGCAAGCCUUAUGCAGCCAUGCCGCGUGUAUGAGGAAGGCCUUCGGGUUGUAAAGUACUUUCAGCGAGGAGGCGGUACUCGCAGAAGAAGCACCGGCUAACUCCGUGCCAGCAGCCGCGGUAAUUAC
rnacentral:rRNA from 1 species